UGGGGAAUAUUGGACAAUGGGCGCAAGCCUGAUCCAGCCAUGCCGCGUGUGUGAAGAAGGCCUUCGGGUUGUAAAGCACUUUUGUUGGGGAAGAAAAGACCGUGGUUAAUAACCGUGGUUCAUGACGGUACCCAAAGAAUAAGCACCGGCUAACUUCGUGCCAGCAGCCGCGGUAAUACGAAGGGUGCAAGCGUUACUCGGAAUUACUGGGCGUAAAGCGUGCGUAGGCGGUUUGUUAAGUCUGCCGUGAAAGCCCCGGGCUCAACCUGGGAAUGGCGGUGGAUACUGGCAAGCUAGAGUACGGUAGAGGAUGGUGGAAUUCCCGGUGUAGCAGUGAAAUGCGUAGAGAUCGGGAGGAACAUCUAUGGCGAAGGCAGCCAUCUGGACCAGUACUGACGCUGAGGCACGAAAGCGUGGGGAGCAAACAGG
rnacentral:rRNA from 1 species